rnacentral:tRNA from 1 species
UGGGCUCAUCGUCUAAGGGAUAAGGACAGGGACCUUCUAAGUCUCUAAUGUAGGUUCGAAUCCUACUGAGCCUAUC